UAUUUUUUUGAAAUCUGUAAAUGAAGCCCAUAUUUCACUUUAAAUUUAUACUUUCUACAACUUUGUAACCAGGGGCCUAGCACUUCCCUUAGAGCAGGAGACCCAGAGACAAUGAAGUUAUCGACCCGUCUUCAAGAGACAAAAGUAUGUGAGGCACCAGCAGAGGACGAAAAGACAAAGAGCAUAGUCAUUUAUCUAGUUCAUAGUGACUUUAUAAUAUCUCAUUUAGUUGGUUAGUUAAUCCCUAAAUUUUCAUCCAUCCAUUGGUUUCUCCAUUCACAACAAUGUUAAACACCUAGUACUUUGUGCUGUCUGUAUUUUAUUAAUAUCUGUAACACCCUGAACUUCUCCUUUGUGGUACUCCCUCAGUUGGAGUGUUAUUACCUAUUACUAUAAUCAUCUGUUGAGUGUCUUAUGACCCUUUUGUUCUGUUAAGGAUAAGAGAAAAAGGUAUUUCAUCUUGUGAAUAUGCAAAAUAUUUACAGAGUUAAUAAAUAGAUGAACUAAUAGUCUCAUGGGGGAAAAGACUGGUAACUACAAUGUAGGCUGAUAAAUGCAGUCAUGGAAAGUCUUUAAAUGAUUAAUGGAGUGUGGAUGGUUACUGGAAUAGGAAGGACUGCCACAUAUCAGAGAGGCUGUUAGGCUUCAGUGAUGGCCUUGACAUUUUUCGAAGGAGGCAUAAGUCACAUGUAGAAAAUAAGGCAUUAAUUCUGAUCUUUCUUUCCUUCCAAUUGCUUUCUAGAUCUAUGACAUGAAGGAAAGUAAUAGAGGCAGUUAACUUUCUUCUGACCAUUUACUACUAGCGAUAUUCUGCUAUUGUUUGGAUCUGGAAUGUCCCCCAAAGGGACAUAUGUUUAAAAGCUUGGUAUUCUGGAUGGUGCUCCUGGGAGGUGGCAGAACCCUUAGGAGGGAGGGCUUAGUGGGAGGUCUUUAAGUUUUUGGGGUUAUGCCCUUGACGGAGACUGUGGGACCCUGGUCUCUUCCUCUUCCAUUCUUCCUUUCGUUUCUUGUCUCGUUAGUUAAGUGACUAUGCUCUAACAUGCCCUCCCACUAUGACAUGCUUCCUCAUCACAGGUCUGAGAGCAAUGAUGCCAAUUGAUUAUGGACUGAAACCACGGACACCAUGAGCUAAAAUACAAUUUUUCUAAGUUAUCUGUCUUGGAUAUUUUUGUAGUGAUGGAAAACUGACUGAUACAGGCAAUAUUAAAUCCACUUGCUACCUGUUAUGUAAUACUAUCCUCACAACAGAGUCCAUGAAGGAGGUAUUUCUGUUAUCCCCAACAAAGAGUAAAACCUUGGAUUAUUAAUAACUUUUUCUGUGAGUGUUCUGCAAGAUGAAGAAAAUUUUCUAAUGAAUUUUAACUUGAUAAAUGAAUGAUGUCUUGUAUUAUGUGUGGUGUGUGAUGCCAAACAUCACUUGAUCACAACUGAGCUUGUCUCUCUGUUUUUGUCUCUGUCUCUCUCUCUCCCCACGGGUUUGUGAGUGAUUAUUUCUCAGCAAGAAGAGGCUAUGGAGGAGAUCUCAUCUGCAGAGGAGGAGAAAGAGUUAGAAGAAUCCUUCAUUUGCAGUGAAAUUAAUGGUCCCCUGAGGAGGUACAGCUGAUACUAUUAGCUCCACUUCCACCAAGGUGCCCAACCUAAUCAUACACUACUAAAAAUGUUAUCCAGAACUGUCUGUUCUCCAGAGGGGACUGCAGUAUUUUUCCUUCAGGGGUCUCAGUAUGUAAUCCAGACUGGCCUUGAAUUUCUGGCCCACCUGGCUCAGCAUCCCGAAUGUUGAGAUUAAAGGCAAGUAGCUCCACACCCAGCUUCCUUCUCCUACUUAAGUGUCCGGGCUUUUUUUAAUGAAAAGACUAACUUAUUUGGAAUGCUACUAAUACAUAUCCAAGCAUCUGAAAUUAAUGAAACUCGAAAAAAGAAAACACACUCUGUAGAACCCAACAGCUGCUUAAACAGAUUGAUUUAGUCUGAGACCAGGAAUCAGAAGGUCACAUUGGAGUCCAAAGGCAAUGCUUCUGUGUUGCCUGAAUGUUUGUCGUGGGUAAGCCAGGAGGUGUUUCACCUGCUUUUAUCCUAGUGGACCCCUGUCACCUCACCAGCCAGGAAGGGACCAGACAGACUGCAUGACACAGAUCUGCCAGGACCUGAUGAGGUGGCACCACAGGCCAGCCAGCCCCGGGUACCACUUCAGGAACAUCCCCAAAGCUCUGCCUGUCUGUGGGCUUUGGGAGAGAAGCCUCUCUAAUGAAGCCAUCUCCAAAAUACAUCAGGUGUGAAGCAAGAAGCCUCAGGAACUUCCACUUUUAAGGAAAGCCGGCUACUUCUACGUUGGUGGCAGCUGAUUAUAUUCAGUCAUUCAUGCAGCUCCCCCGAGGACACGGUUUUUAUUUUUAGAGAAGCCUCCAUUUGCUGACUGUUGUGAAGGGAACACUCAGGAGGAGCUAUUAGCAGUCACUUGUUUCAGUAAACAUUGAAUAUAACAUAUGCCUCUCAAGUAAUGUGUAUCCAAACAUACAAUUUACAAAUAAUUAACAUCAUGUUAAUUAGUCACAUUAAUUUAUGCCACUUUGUGGAAUUAUUUCCUCAGAGUGUUUAGGAACGUUGCCAGGAGCUUGAGCCAAACAGUGUGAAAAUGUGCUUGAAGUUAACUGUUGUGUGCGGCAGUGAAACACAGCUUGAGCACACAGUUGCCGGGUAUGGCAGCACAGUGCAACAGCCCAGGCUUCCAGCUGCCCUGACUUCAGAAAACUACCUUGUGUUCAGUGCUGAGCCCCUCUCCUGCCUUGCACUCUCUUUUUCACACUUUGGUUUCUGCUAGUUGCUUCUAAGAACCCAUUCUCUCACCACUGGCUACACAUAUCCAGGUUUAUCCUGGUGGGACAGCAAGUGAACCAGAGAGUUUUCCACACAGAGAUAAUGUGAUACUGUGCUGAAAACUGGUGCUGAAUGAUUAAAAAACAAAACAAAACAAAACCAACAUCUCAGAAUGAUUUGCUGUUAGCACAGCUCGGAGAAUAUCAAAUGCAAAAGUAAGGUGUUAGUGUUUCCAAAUAAAGGGGAUCCUUAUUCAUCUGUCUCUGAAACUUAGGCAUUUUCACAGAGUACUUCACCCCCAAGUGCUUGAAGCCAGAGGAAAAAAAACAGCGAAACAAUUCAGGACCUAAAGGAGAAAGACAAUUAGAGAAAACAGGCUUUGCGGACUGCAGGCAGAGUGCAAAUGCACCAGGGAAAGCAAAGGCAAACUACAAAUGAAGUGAAUGAAGGGUGCUACUUGGAGGAAUGUAGCUCAUUUUAGUGGCCGUGUCAUGGCAGGAGCAAGACAGCUUUUUGGGGGGCAGGCCAGGACGGAGGGACCUGGGAAAUGCACCCUGACUGUUGCCUGAGCCAUCCCCUCAAUGCUGGGUGAUUACACCUAAGGUCUCUUUUAUUGGAGUAACAAGCUCCACAAGAACGGAUGAAAGUCAGAUCCCUUUUCUAAACCUCUCAGUAUGCAUUCUCCACAGCCCCUACAUCCAUGAAACCAGUUUUGGAUGAUAGCAUCAAUCACAGGCUAAAAGCCAAUAAACAAGUUGUAUUCCCAAGGUCCAAGUAUGAGUGCAAAGAAUUUGCAAGAAAAUUUAUCAUGGACAAAUAUUUGAGGGGGGGGUAAGGAACUGAACAAUUAGAAGGAAAUUAUGGACAAGAGAAAAAUAAUCACCUAGGAAUAUCUCUGACAUUCUACAUUGUAAA